GAGUUUGAUCCUGGCUCAGAAUUAACGCUGGCGGCAUGCCUAACACAUGCAAGUCGAACGAGAAACCCCGGUUCGCCGGGGGAGUAAAGUGGCGCACGGGUGAGUAACGCGUGGGUAAUCUACCUCGGUCUGGGGGAUAACGCAUCGAAAGGUGCGCUAAUACCGCAUAAUCCGACGGACUUUCGGGUCUUUCGGCAAAGAUGGCCUCUACAUGUAAGCUGUCGAAUCGAGAUGAGCCCGCGUCCCAUUAGCUAGUUGGUAGGGUAAAAGCCUACCAAGGCGACGAUGGGUAGCUGGUCUGAGAGGACGAUCAGCCACACUGGAACUGGUACACGGUCCAGACUCCUACGGGAGGCAGCAGUGAGGAAUAUUGCGCAAUGGGGGAAACCCUGACGCAGCGAUGCCGCGUGGGUGAAGAAGGCCUUCGGGUCGUAAAGCCCUGUCGGGUGGGAAGAACAGUCUGGGAGUUAAUACCUCUCAGGUUUGACGGUACCACUAAAGGAAGCACCGGCUAACUCCGUGCCAGCAGCCGCGGUAA
rnacentral:rRNA from 1 species